UACGGGGGGGGCAAGCGUUGUUCGGAAUUACUGGGCGUAAAGGGCUCGUAGGCGGCCAACUAAGUCGGACGUGAAAUCCCCAGGCUCAACCUGGGAACUGCGUCCGAUACUGGAUGGCUUGAAUUCGGGAGAGGGAUGCAGAAUUCCAGGUGUAGCGGUGAAAUUCGUAGAUAUUGGGAAGAACACCGGUGGCGAAGGCGGCGAGCUGGUCCAUUACUGACGCUGAGGCGCGACAGCGUGGGGAGCAAACAGG
rnacentral:rRNA from 1 species